rnacentral:rRNA from 1 species
GCUCGAGUGGCGAACGGGUGAGUAACACGUGAGUAACUGCCCUUGACUUUGGGAUAACUUCAGGAAACUGGGGCUAAUACCGGAUAGGAGCUCCUGCUGCAUGGUGGGGGUUGGAAAGUUUCGGCGGUUGGGGAUGGACUCGCGGCUUAUCAGCUUGUUGGUGGGGUAGUGGCUUACCAAGGCUUUGACGGGUAGCCGGCCUGAGAGGGUGACCGGCCACAUUGGGACUGAGAUACGGCCCAG